UUGCGGUCUGUAUACAGUGCUGCAUGGCUGUCGUCAGCUCGUGCUGUGAAGUGUUGGGUUAAGUCCCGCAACGAGCGCAACCCCUAUCAUCUGUUGCCAGCAUUUAAGGUGGGGACUCAGAUGAGACUGCCGGUGACAAACCGGAGGAAGGUGGGACGACGUCAAGUCAUCAUGGCCCUUAUGUCCUGGGCUACACACGUGCUACAAUGGCCGGUACAGAGUGAAGCGAAACCGCGAGGUGAAGCAAAACGCAGAAAGCCGGUCUCAGUACGGAUUGGAGUCUGAAACUCGACUUCAUGAAGUUGGAAUCGCUAGUAAUCGCGCAUCAGCAUGGCGCGGUGAAUACGUUCCCGGGCCUU
rnacentral:rRNA from 1 species